AUUGAACGUUGGCGGCAUGCUUUACACAUGCAAGUCGAACGGUAACAGGCCGCAAGGUGCUGACGAGUGGCGAACGGGUGAGUAAUGCAUCGGAACGUGCCCAGUCGUGGGGGAUAACGCAGCGAAAGCUGUGCUAAUACCGCAUACGAUCUAUGGAUGAAAGCGGGGGACCGUAAGGCCUCGCGCGAUUGGAGCGGCCGAUGUCAGAUUAGGUAGUUGGUGGGGUAAAGGCCCACCAAGCCAACGAUCUGUAGCUGGUCUGAGAGGACGACCAGCCACGCUGGGACUGAGACACGGCCCAGACUCCUACGGGAGGCAGCAGUGGGGAAUUUUGGACAAUGGGCGCAAGCCUGAUCCAGCAAUGCCGCGUCCAGGAAGAAGGCCUUCGGGUUGUAAACUGCUUUUGUACGGAACGAAACGGUCUGGGUUAAUACCUCGGGCUAAUGACGGUACCGUAAGAAUAAGCACCGGCUAACUACGUGCCAGCCGCCGCGGUAACAC
rnacentral:rRNA from 1 species